rnacentral:SRP_RNA from 1 species
GCCAGGCGUGGUGGUGCAUGCCUGUAAUCCCAGCUACUUAGGAGGCUGAGGCAGGAGAAUUGCUUGAACUCGGGAGGCAGAGGUUGCAGUGAGCCAAGACUGCACCACUGCACUUCAGCCUGGGUGAUAGAGUGAGACUCUGUCUCAA